AUUGAACGCUGGCGGCAGGCCUAACACAUGCAAGUCGAGCGAGCGGCGGACGGGUGAGUAAUGUAUGGGGAACUGACGGAUGGAGGGGGAUAACUACUGGAAACGGUGGCUAAUACCGAAUACUAUCGGAUGAACCCAUAUGGGAUUAGCUAGUGGGUGGGGUAAAGGCUCACCAAGGCGAGGAUCCCUAGCUGGUCUGAGAGGAUGACCAGCCACACUGGGACUGAGAUACGGCCCAGACUCCUACGGGAGGCAGCAGUGGGGAAUAUUGCACAAUGGGCGCAAGCCUGAUGCAGCCAUGCCGCGUGUAUGAAGAAGGCCUUAGGGUUGUAAAGUACUUUCAGCGGGGAGGCGUUACCCGCAGAAGAAGCACCGGCUAACUCCGUGCCAGCAGCCGCGGUAAUUC
rnacentral:rRNA from 1 species